UUAAAUUGAAGAGUUUGAUCAUGGCUCAGAUUGAACGCUGGCGGCAGGCUUAACACAUGCAAGUCGAA
rnacentral:rRNA from 1 species